rnacentral:rRNA from 1 species
GACGAACGCUGGCGGCGUGCUUAACACAUGCAAGUCGAACGGAAAGGCCCUGCUUUUGUGGGGUGCUCGAGUGGCGAACGGGUGAGUAACACGUGAGUAACCUGCCCUUGACUUUGGGAUAACUUCAGGAAACUGGGCUAAUACCGGAUAAGAGCUCCUGCUGCAUGGUGGGGGGUGGGAAGGUUCGGCGGUUGGGGAUGGACUCGCGGCUUAUCAGCUUGUUGGUGGGGUAGUGGCUUACCAAGGCUUUGACGGGUAGCCGGCCUGAGAGGGUGACCGGCCACAUUGGGACUGAGAUACGGCCCAGACUCCUACGGGAGGCAGCAGUGGGGAAUAUUGCACAAUGGGCGGAAGCCUGAUGCAGCAACGCCGCGUGCGGGAUGACGGCCUUCGGGUUGUAAACCGCUUUCGCCUGUGACGAAGCGUGAGUGACGGUAAUGGGUAAAGAAGCACCGGCUAACUACGUG